rfam:Acetobacterium wieringae strain DSM 1911 ACWI_contig000033, whole genome shotgun sequence.
AGUCUGUUUCAGGGCGAGGUGUAAGUCCUCACCGGUGGUGAUGCGUAAAAGCGAUAAGUCCACGAGCCGAAAGGCCGAUCUGGUUAGAAUCCAGAACCGACGGUAUAGUCCGGAUGAAAGAAAUGGCGU